UAUUAAAGGUCCAACCUGCCCAGUGAACAAGUUUUUAACGGCCGCGGUAUCCUAACCGUGCAAAGGUAGCAUAAUAACUUGUCCCCUAAUUAGGGACUUGUAUGAACGGUUAAAUGAGGGCUUAACUGUCUCCUGUAGCCAAUCAAUGAAAUUGAUCUAACAGUACAAACGCUGUUAUAUGAAUAUAAGACGAGAAGACCCUGUGGAGCUUUAAAUUUUAAUAUUAACCAUAAUGACCGUAACCUACAUUAACAUAAUAUAAAUUUUAAGUUGGGGCAACUGUGGAGUAAAAAAAAACCUCCAUGAAAUACGACUAACCCUCGUCAUGCAAGGCUAACAAGCCAAACAAAAUAAACGACCCAGUCAAACUGAACAACGGACCAAGUUACCCCAGGGAUAACAGCGCCAUCCCCUUAAAGAGUCCACAUUGCUAAGGGGGUUUACGACCUCGAUGUUGGAUCAGGACUCCCAAGUGGUGCAACAGCUACUAAAGGUUCGUUUGUUCAACGAG
rnacentral:rRNA from 1 species